GGAAUUUUGGGCAAUGGGCGAAAGCCUGACCCAGCAACGCCGCGUGAAGGAUGAAGUAUUUCGGUAUGUAAACUUCGAAAGAAUGGGAAGAAUAAAGGACGGUACCAUUUAUAACCUCCGGCUAACUACGUUCCAGCAGCCGCGGUAAUACGUAGGGAGCAAGCGUUGUUUGGAUUUACUGGGCGUAAAGGGCGCGUAGGCGGCGCGGUAAGUCACUUGUGAAAUCUCUGAGCUUAACUCAGAACGGCCAAGUGAUACUGCAGUGCUAGAGUGCAGAAGGGGCAAUCGGAAUUCUUGGUAUAGCGGUGAAAUGCGUAGAUAUCAAGAGGAACACCUGAGGUGAAGACGGGUUGCUGGGCUGACACUGACGCUGAGUGCGCGAAAGCCAGGGGAGCAAAC
rnacentral:rRNA from 1 species